rnacentral:lncRNA from 10 species
CGGCAAGGUUCUCAAGAAGGGCCCGGCAGCGUCACUUCAGAUGUGCUCCAGGUUAGAAGCAGAGGCCGAUCCACCACCACACAGGGCGCAGGCAGCUGCGGGACGGGCCCGAUGCUCUCAGACCUGUACAGAGACCUGCUCCCGAUGUGGCACUGAAGAGACCUCAGCUCUGCCAUCCAGGGGCCCUGAGAGCCGGGGAGAAAGGCAAGAUGCCACAGGCCCCUGUGUGCAAAGGCAGGGACCAGCCAGAGAGGACCAGUAAAGGGGGCCCAGUCCCUCCACCCAGAGAAAUGUCACACAGGAUCAAGGCACAGGAGGGCAUUGUCAGGGCUGUGGAGCCUCGUGGGGACACCAGCUCGGGAUAGCACCCCGCCACCGGCAGGCAGGGGCCGCGCCAGGGGAAGAGCCCCACAAGGAUGAUGGGCAACGUUAUUUCUCUUUGGAAGAUCAUUGAGCGUGUUGAUGUGUAAUUUUUCAAUAAAAUAUUAGUCAGCCAAGCUGCCAAGGACCUUAUUUUUAAAUAAAGUCUUAGUUGAGUUGUUAAUUCUCUACUCAGCUUUGCU